UCCCUAGUGGCUUAGAGUGUAAAGAAUCUGCCUGCUAUGCAGGAGACCUAAGUUCAAUUCCUUGGUUGGGAA
rnacentral:tRNA from 1 species